UACGAAGGGGGCUAGCGUUGUUCGGAAUUACUGGGCGUAAAGAGUGUGUAGGUGGUGCUCUAAGUUCGGUGUGAAAUCUCCCGGCUUAACUGGGAGGGUGCGCCGAAAACUGGAGUGCUCGAGCGUGGGAGAGGAAAGCGGAAUUCCCGGUGUAGCGGUGGAAUGCGUAGAGAUCGGGAAGAACAUCAGUGGCGAAGGCGGUCUGCUGGGCCGUUGCUGACGCUGAGGCGCGACAGCGUGGGGAGCAAACAGG
rnacentral:rRNA from 1 species